UUAAAAUUUAUAAAUAGACAGAAAAGAAAUGACCAUACGUAUUCAUUUAUUAUUGAUCGAUUAAUUGAUAUACGCUGUGAUGCAAUUCAGCGCAGUUUACCGCGAAGCUUCAAGAAUCUUCUUUAACAGCACAAAUUACGACAUCCCAAAAAGGACACAAAAAUUUUCAACAUCAAACACCAAACGUCUCGUAACGAAAGCAAGUCAUAUCUUUAAAAGACGAGUUCUGACGGAGAUGAUAACGACUUUGAUUACGACUUCGUAGUAGUCGUUGAAUUUAUAUCUCGGGGACGGCCAGGGCAAAGAAAAAUAGACCUCGUUCCAUCAAAAUGGAUUGAAUAUGAUAAGAAAAAAGAGAAACUCAUAAUUAAUUUAUGCCAUCACCUUAUGGAAAAGAAGAUUUCCAAUUAAUAACAGAUUUAACUGAUGCAGAAGAUUGGGUCUCUUACAGCAUUAAAGUGAAAGCUAAACAAAGAAACUUAUGCCGAUGGGGGCAAGAAACUUUAAAAGAAGAAGAGCAAUUGUAUGCAUUCACCGAGAAUGCAGCUGCAAUUGAAGAAUCAUUAAAAAUCUAAAAUUUGAAAAGAAAAGUAGACGAUUUAAAAGAGAUGAUGACUGUGUCACAAAUUCCGAACAAAGAUUCCGCAGAUUGCAACAAAAGAAAAACGCAAAAGAAAAAUGUGAAAACGUAAGUAUGUUGAUCUAAUGUCGCAGUCGAUUGCAAACGUCACUUUGGAAAGAAGAAAAACUUAUGUAAAAGAAGCAUUGUUGAAAGCGUCAAAGGAAGCAUCAAUCUCAGCAACGAAGUCACAAAAAUCAUCAAAGAUAAUAAUUAAUAUUGCCGUCGUUCUUAACGAAAUUUUAAAGAUUCAAAUUGAUAUAAAACGUUUACUUGAGACAUCUGCCGUUAAUAAGAAAGGAAUUACUUCGAAUGGUAAAUAAUUUUCCGAAAAGUAUGACGUUGAGUUCCCAAUGCGUACACUAGAGAACUUAAAUGUAUUCCAAGAUAAAUUAAAGGCAAACG